GGUCUUAUAAUCUUAAAGAUUUUAAAUUGCAAAUUUAAAUAGAAUUAUACAAUAAUUUAAGGCUU
rnacentral:tRNA from 1 species